UUUUCACUGAUUUUUCUGUUAUUCUCUUUCCCUGAUUAUUAAAAUCAGGAAAUUUCGAACAGCUGAUGUCAAAAGAGACUGGAUGCCAGAAAUUAACCCGCUAAAAAUAGCUAACAUAAGCAGUGCGAAAGCAAAUUUCAAGGAAUGACAAAUACUUUUAAUAACGUGCAACUAAAUUUUAUUUGCUAAUUUAAUUUAAAACGUUGAUCAGAAAACCAUGAUCUUUUAUUAUGACUUGUAUUGUUUCUUUGUUAUAAUUUUUUUUUAUUUAUAUGCAGUUUUUUUAUGUUUUAUGAUAGUUCAAAAAUUUUAUAAUAUGAAUACGCGUAUUUAAGGAUGUAUAUGCGUUAUAUAAGCCUACUCGGUUACGGAGCACCUAAAUUGGCAUGAUUGAUAAAUGCUAUAAAAAAUCUGGGUUUAGACAGCUCUCUCUCAAAUCAAAGAGUUUCGUUUCAUUUCAUCCUUGACAUGGCAACGCUCUAAUUAGAACCAGGGAUUAGAACUGUGUCUGCUGCACAAUCCGGCACCAUAAUAGGUCUUCGUGUGAGAACUCAGUGUUAGUUUAUUUCUGGUGGAAUCUGCAUUAUAACAAAUCAUGUGUGGUAUUUUUUGCGGUUUAAACUGUGAUAAAGUUUGUAGGAGAACUGAACUUAAAAAUAUUUUGACACGACGAGGACCUGAUUUUUCAUCUUCCGUUGCAAUCAAUUAUGAUAAUAUACAAAUGGUUUUUGCAUGUUCAGUACUUUGGCAACAAGGAUUAAGUGUUUGCCCACAACCUUUUGAAACUG